rnacentral:rRNA from 1 species
GACAGAGGGUGCAAACGUUGUUCGGAAUUACUGGGCGUAAAGCGCGUGUAGGCGGCCCUGCAAGUCGGAUGUGAAAUCCCACGGCUCAACCGUGGAAGUGCAUUCGAAACUGCAGGGCUAGAGUCCUGGAGAGGAAGGUGGAAUGCUUGGUGUAGAGGUGAAAUUCGUAGAUAUCAAGCGGAACACCGGUGGCGAAGGCGGCCUUCUGGACAGUGACUGACGCUGAGGCGCGAAAGCCAGGGGAGCAAACGGG